ACAAAUUCCAAAACUCGUCUUCCGGACAGAUCUGGACUAUCCUUUCUCGUCAAGAGGAGGGCAGUCUGGAUCUAUCCGGACUACAAAUACAUUUACUUUACUGGACAACCACAGGCAACCAAACCAAGGAUAAACCAAUGGUAAAAA
rnacentral:misc_RNA from 1 species